rnacentral:lncRNA from 1 species
AAAAUUAGAUUUGGUAAAACCUUGAGGUAAGUUGUUUAAUUUUCUAGCUUUGAUUUUAUUUUUUACAUCUUCUUCUUCAUUUGCUUCUCUUGAUUUUGGAUAUAUUAGAUUAGUUUGGGUGUGGAUGCAUAGGCCACACAUGAGUGUUGAUCAAAUUGAUGAUUGAAUGUUGCUUGAAUGUGAAUUGCUUAUUUGAUGAUUUGGAAUAAAGAUUAGACUUAAUUUAUGUUAAAUUUGUCUCACAAAAAAUAAGCCAUUGGAAAAACAUGCAAAUAGGCUUUCAAUGUUUGUGUUUUUGUUUUGAUUCAUUUUUCUUUGCUUUCAUUUUUAGAUUAGUUGAUCCUUCUAAUUUUUCAUCACAAAUCAAAUACACAUAGGUCACUAGUUGAGUUCACUAUGUAGCAUUAAUUUGUUUCACAUGUCUACUUCACUUUUAGGUCAAUUUUAUAUACUUGUUUAGGUCACUUUUAGAUGCAUAAUUUGACACUCUUUCAGGUUUAUUUUAUGGUCAUUUUUAGAUCAUAAUUAGGUCACAAUUCACCUAACUUGAUCACUCAAUUUUUAGCACACACACACUUGCUUUCAAGUAUUUUCCUAGUGAUUUAUGAUUUUAUGUGUUUUAAUGAUUUUGAAAGUGUUUUAAAUUGUUCUUAAAAUAAAGUGAAUCCUCAAAGUUCAUUAUUCAAAUUCAUCUUAGAUAAAUUAGGUGAGGAGAAGUCUAUUUUCAAAACUAAUGCUACCUUGUUCAUUUGAUGCGUAUAUUUGGAAAGGUUUUCAUUGAUUUUCAAUUUUUCUAAUACAUAAAUUAAAUUCAUAGCUCCAAACAAUGGAGUGAUUCCUUGUCUUGGUGAACUUAUUCAUGAUCAUAUGAGGUUAAGGAAGCAUAGAAGAAUUGAUGGAAAUUAAAAAGGGACUUGGUGAAUCCUUAUAUUCAAAGUUUUCAAAAUUGAACACUUUAUUGUCAUGAUAAUUUACUGCACCUUUAAAGUUGUAAAUUGACAUCCAACUACUUAGAGACCUUCUAAUAUUAUUUCAAUGGUUGGAUAUUGUUAUUAUAUAAUAUCUUAAAUAGGUGAAAUAAAUUUUGUUUGAGCUCAAAACACUUCUCCAAGUAAGAGACUUCAAUUAGUCUUCCAGUAAGUCCUGUAUCAGUACUAUUAUGGACACCAGAAAUAAUUUUUCAAAAUUAAAUUAGAUAUGACUUUUUUUAUGGUUAUGACUUUUUUAAUUCAUUUUAAUAUUUUUCCCUUAAUCUGGACUUUUUAAAUUAUAAUUUAGAUACCUGUGACACUCAAAACUGAUUUCCCAAAUAGGAGAAAUAAUUUUUUCUUUCUAUACCUAUUGCACAAGCCUUGUUUUGUAGUUAGGAGUUGUUUGCUUGAUUUUUAAUAUGCAUCGAGUAUGUUUAUGCCUUGAAAUUAUUUGUCAUGUACAGGUUGUACAAAUUUUAGCUUUAUUUUAUCACUCUCUUAAGUUAGUCAAAUAAAUUAAUCUUUGUAUGAUUUAGAAAUUAGCCUUGUUUUUUUAUUUACCAAUUAGGGGUUUUAUGAAAUCUGGUAUUGAAUGACACAUAAUUAAAUAAUUUGGCCUUUUCGGUUGUAAUUUAGAUAUUAGAGAAUAUUGCCUAAUUUUAUUUUUAUAUUUUUAAUGAAAUUUCAUUUCUAGAUUUUUUUUAGGAUAUAUUUUUCAAACUCCAUUUGAUCGUAUGUUGAAUGUAAUGUAUGGUUUUCCUUAGUCUUAUUUAAUCUGGUAUUGAAUGACAUGUAAUUAAAUAAUUUGGACUUUUGUAUUGUGAUCUAGACAUAUUGAAGAUAUUUUCCAUUUUUUAUUUUGAUGAAAUAACACCUUUAGGUAUUUAUUUAGGAUUUAUUUUGUUAAUACCCCUAUUCUGCCCCACUAAUGAUACUUUGUAUGUUUUGAUAAUUUGAUACCCUUUAUGUAUGAUUUUAAGCUCCUUUGAUUCUUGAUUCACAUUGUAGUUAUAUUGUACUCAUUAGUUGAACUUUUCUUUGGAUUGAAAUUAAUCAUUUGAUAUUUUAUUUCGACUAAUUAUUGUGAAUGAAUACUUGUUAGCCAAUUCUAAAUUUUUUUAAAGCAUGUAUUUUGUUUCAUCUUAUUCAUACCUUAUCAUCUCUUUAUUUCAUGAUUUGAGAUAUGCACAUGUUGUAUCUAUUGUGAGGCCUUACCUAUGAUUUUAUAUUCAUUAUUUUUUCUUGUUGAGUUAACCCUCUUGUUUUAUGAAAGUGCUUAGUUCAUUGUUGAGGUAUAGUCAUUUCCUUCUCAUUUAUUUGAUUAUUUGAAUAUGCAUGACUUGUUUGAGUGAUUUUUAAUUAUGCUUACAUUUUUUCUUUGUUAUAUAUUAUGUGUUUCUUAGUAUCCACUAUUUACAAAUUAAUUGCCAUAGUUACCUCAAUUUGAUUAGUAGAGACCUGUUUUAAGGCUUAGAGGAGUGCUACCUUAUGAUACCUUAUCGAUAGGUAACUUAACCCUUGGACUUAUACUUAGUUUUCAAAGACAUGCUUUUUCAAGCAAGGAGUCAUUUUUAAGGUUUUAUUUCUUAUUUUGUUUUUACUUUAAAUAAUAAACAAAAAUAAGUGACGACUUCAACUUUACAAAAAUCAAUUUUUUUAUUAAAACACGAGUCUCGCUAUCGAGUAAGGAUGUAUGCGAAAAAUAUGGGUCCACAAUAUCAUUACAUUUUUUUUUCAAUAGAUUUGCUUUAUAUAUAUUUUUUUUCAAAGACAACUUUUUUCAUCAACAAGGAUGUAUUAUCUUUCCUAAGGAAUCUAACUUGAGUAAGAUCCUCUAAGAGUAUGCUUAUGCACAACAUGUGACAUGAAUUCACUUGGAAAUUGGUAACAUAAUCAAGCUUUAAGAGUAAUAGGUUGUCUACCUACUUUUAGAAACUUCUAAGUGUAUAUAGCCAAUGAAUAAAUUCAUUAUUCUUAUUAAUAUCCAAAUUGAUCAAAACUCAAUUUGGAAAGAAAGUAUAAAAUUCCUUCUUACAAACUAAUGUAAGAUAAACCAGAAUUGUUCAACAUUAAAAUUUUUGAAAAAUUUUAAUUUAGGAAAUUGAGUCUUGUAUUUCGUUUGUUAGCAAUUUUAUUCGUAUUCAUCCUGACUUAGGAAACUUUUUAGAUAGUGACUUACUCUUCACUCAAAAUUCAAGUUUACUAUUGGCUCAACUAGUAAGUCAUAGGAAAAGGUUUGUUUAGUGGCAAGUUAGGUGGUUGAAGGGUUAGAGUGGAUUAAUUACCCUUUUUUGACCUAAAAUACUUGAAUUUAUGUUUUAGAAAAACAAAGGGUGCUCAAGUGGUGGAAUCGGUGCCCGAGCGCUUAUCCAAUGCUCAAGGGUCCAAGGUUCUCGAGUGAUGGUUAAGUACACUCAAGCAGUUUUCCCGAAUCUACCAGAAUAUGGUAGAUUUUGUUUUUGAAAAUUCACAAGUAUUCUUUUUGGUAAAUUCUAUAUAUCGAUCCCAUAGGUUUGUGGACCUAUAUAAACCAUUUCUUAACACAUUUUAGGGUUGGACACUUUGAGAGAAUCAACCCAACUUGACAUAUCAUUCCCAACCUCUCAACAAAGAAUUCAUAGGUUGAAUUCUAGGUUGUUGGAAGGACUUACAUCCCCUCAAAGGUUGAGAGGAAUCUGUUGGAGCAUUGGAGGUGUUACAUUGAGAUGUAGAUCACGGUAUGGGUCCUGGAAAGUAAGUCUUUAGGUUAAAGUAGUUAGGAAAAUCUGUGUACUUUGAUCUCAUAUAGUGAAUUAUAGAUUAAAGACCUUAAACCCUGUGGUUUUUCAUCUCCAUAGUUAGUGUGGGGGUUUUCCACAUAAAAAUCUUUGUGUCUCUUUCAUGAUUGUGACUACUUUGAAUAUCUUUAAUAUCUCAAGGUUUUAAUCUGGGUUAAUUUAUUCAUCGUUUAUAUUGUAAUCUUUAAUAACACCUAUUCAACCACACCUCCCUCUCUCCUCCCUCCCUCCUCCUCCUCUAAUCGCCUACCCUUAGGUGUCACCCUAUUGGACAAAUGCUUUUUCAAUUUAUACUCAGGAUCAAGUCAUAGUAUCAAUUCCACCAAAAAGUACUACCUUAUAUCCUCUCCUCUAAACCUAUUUAAUACCUUGUCCUCUAGGUAUAAUAAAAUAGAUAAGAAAACAAGAUAUACCCUAACUAGCUUUGGUAGGACAAACCUUUCAUCAGUAAAAACAAACAACAAAAACAAACUAGUUAGCAAUCAUAAAAAUAUAGAAACAAAAGAACCAAAAUAAGAAAAAUAGUACAAGUAGAGGAACUAAUUAAAGUGUAAACCAAAAUAAUCCAAAAAAUAGAAUAGGACUAUCAGAGUGGUCUUAUAAAUUAUUGGUGUUUUGCCUUUGCUUUAUCUCUAUCCAUUUCAUUCAACUAUAAGUCCUUUGCAAACUUCCUUCGAGAUGCACCCAUUUGAUCUUAAUGGUUCUUUAAUUGUUCAAGUGGGAAAGUGAAUGGUCAUAGAGUUUUUUUUUUUUUUUUUUUUAUGAAUUAUAGACUUGUUGAUAUAGCUCAUUAUGGUUAGAUUUAUCAAAUUGCAUUUUUUAACAAUAGAAUUGAUUAUAUAACUGGACAAAAUUAUUUGGCAAUGCAAUAGAUUAUCAAAUUGAAUAUCAGAUUCAUUUUAAUAAAUGGUUGAAGCUACUGACUUAUCUAAAAAUCAAGAAACAAUUAUCAAAAUGCAAUUGAUGCCCAACUAACAAUUCUCAAAACUUUAUGUUAGAACUCCCAUGAAUUAUCAAAUAUAUAUUGAUAUGAACUACUAUGAAACAAAAACUUCAAUAAGCAAAUUUUUUUUUCUUGGCCAAUUUUCAAAAAUAUUUUGGAACAUAAAAAUUAUCAAAUCCCCCUAAUGUAUACUAUCGAGUCCAAAUUAGCAUUAUUUAUAACACUAUCGCAAUCUUAAAUUUUUAAAACAGAAAUUCUUGUAAAGGAUCUUAUAUCAAAAUGGCACAAAUGAGUAUAUAUAUGUCAUGCCCUAAGACCCACUCCAAAGGCACGAUGGUUAUUUUACACCUCAAGCCCGAAAACUCAAAAUACAAAUGACUCAAACAAUCAUCUUAUAACUGGAAGGUUACUGUGGACCCUCAAUUUUGUCCCUUUAGCACAUGUCUUUAAGUUCGUUUUCAAUGCUCCAAAAUAGUUCCUUGGUGGCCCAUUACUACUCGUACAACUUACCUUUUUUUGAGUUAUCUCGGGGACUUUGGUUAGGGGAUUAUCUGACCCUUUAUUGUGAUCCUUGGCAGUCUUAACUUAGACUUAGACUUUUCUUGCUUUUUUUUUUGGGAUAGCUUUUAGAUACACUUGACCCAUUAGGCACCACCCUAGGCCCACUAGAUUCACCUAGGCUCAUUCAGGCACAUCUAGGCCCAUUUAGGUUCACUAGAUCCACUUAGGUAUCUUAGCCCUCCCAUGUCACCGUUGCGGUAAUUCCUACAUGACUUACAUAAUUUGCAUGAUUUGCAUUUUUUUUUAACACUUUUAUGUACUUGAUUUCCUAUUCAUUUAUUUAUCUACUUAUUCUAUUAACAUUUAGUUAGUUAUUUGUUUUAUUUAUUUAUUUUAUAGAAUAUUGCAUGAGAUUGAUGUCAUUAAUUGCGUAAACUAAUGUCUUAAUUUGUCUGUGUGUAGCUAUGAUAGAUAUAUUGUUUUUGAUUGCACAUAUUUUUUAUUAGUUUUAAUUUUCAAUUUCAUGACCUCUACUGCUUUUACUUCUUAUUUUAUUUUGGCAUGAGAUUUGAAUGCACACAUUGGAGAAGAUCUUUGACGUACACGGCUGAGGCACAUCCGGGAGUAUAUGGAAAGAAGAUUAAAGAGAAUCUGAUUACUUACCAAAUGAGAGAGGGGCUGCAUCCUUGGAAAAUCUCCAAGUAAGCUGCACGUAUGUAGACUUCCCAUAUCCACG